ACGGGAGGCAGCAGUGGGGAAUAUUGCACAAUGGGCGCAAGCCUGAUGCAGCGAUGCCGCGUGAGGGAAGAAGGUUUUCGGAUUGUAAACCUCUGUCAUCGGGGACGAUAAUGACUGUACCCGAGAAGGAAGCUCCGGCUAACUACGUGCCAGCAGCCGCGGUAAUACGGAGGAUCCGAGCGUUAUCCGGAUUUAUUGGGUUUAAAGGGUGCGCAGGCGGGCUGCUAAGUCUCCGGUGAAAUGUCAGGGCUCAACCUUGGCACUGCCGGAGAUACUGGCGGCCUUGAGAGUGGCGGAGGUAUCCGGAAUGUGUGGUGUAGCGGUGAAAUGCAUAGAUAUCACACAGAACACCGAUUGCGAAGGCAGGAUACCAUACCAUAUCUGACGCUCAGGCACGAAAGCGUGGGGAUCGAACAGGAUUAGAUACCCUGGUA
rnacentral:rRNA from 1 species